AGUGAACGCUGGCGGUAGGCCUAACACAUGCAAGUCGAACGGCAGCACAGUAAGAGCUUGCUCUUACGGGUGGCGAGUGGCGGACGGGUGAGGAAUACAUCGGAAUCUACUUUUUCGUGGGGGAUAACGUAGGGAAACUUACGCUAAUACCGCAUACGACCUACGGGUGAAAGCAGGGGAUCUUCGGACCUUGCGCGAUUGAAUGAGCCGAUGUCGGAUUAGCUAGUUGGCGGGGUAAAGGCCCACCAAGGCGACGAUCCGUAGCUGGUCUGAGAGGAUGAUCAGCCGCACUGGAACUGAGACACGGUCCAGACGCCUACGGGAGGCAGCAGUGGGGAAUAUUGGACAAUGGGCGGAAGCCUGAUCCAGCCAUACCGCGUGGGUGAAGAAGGCCUUCAGGUUGUAAAGCCCUUUUGUUGGGAAAGAAAAGCAGCAGGUUAAUACCCCGCUGUUCUGACGGUACCCAAAGAAUAAGCACCGGCUAACUUCGUG
rnacentral:rRNA from 1 species